AUUGAACGCUUGCGGCAGGCCUAACACAUGCAAGUCGAACGAGUGGCGGACGGGUGAGUACUGUCUGGGAAACUGCCUGAUGGAGGGGGAUAACUACUGGACACGGUAGCUAAUACCGCAUACCAUCGGAUGUGCCCAGAUGGGAUUAGCUAGUAGGUGGGGUAACGGCUCACCUAGGCGACGAUCCCUAGCUGGUCUUAGAGGAUGACCAGCCACACGGGAACUGAGACACGGUCCAGACUCCUACGUGAGGCAGCAGUGGGGAAUAUUGCACAAUGGGCGCAAGCCUGAUGCAGCCAUGCCGCGUGUAUGAAGAAGGCCUUCGGGUUGUAAAGUACUUUCAGCGGGGAGGCGUUACUCGCAGAAGAAGCACCGGCUAACUCCGUGCCAGCCGCCGCGGUAAUGC
rnacentral:rRNA from 1 species